rnacentral:rRNA from 1 species
GACGAACGCUGGCGGCGUGCUUAACACAUGCAAGUCGAACGGAAAGGCCCUGCUUUUGUGGGGUGCUCGAGUGGCGCACGGGUGAGUAACAUGUGAGUAACCUGCCCUUGACUUUGGGAUAACUUCAGGAAACUGGGGCUAAUACCGGAUAGGAGCUCCUGCUGCAUGGUGGGGGUUGGAAAGUUUCGGCGGUUGGGGAUGGACUCUCGGCUUAUCAGCUUGUUGGUGGGGGAGUGGCCUACCAAGGCUUUGACGGGUAGCCGGCCUGAGAGGGUGACCGGGCACAUGGGGACUGAGAGACGGCCCAGAGUCGUACGGGAGGCAGCAGUGGGGAAUAUUGCACAGUGGGGGGAAGCCUGAUGCAGCGGCGCCGCGGGCGGGAUGACGGCCUGCGGGUUGUAAACCGCUUUCGCCUGAGACGAAGGGUGAGUGACGGUAAUGGGUAAAGAAGCACCGGCUAACUACGUG